rnacentral:rRNA from 1 species
UACGUAGGGGGCGAGCGUUGUCCGAAUUUACUGGGCGUAAAGAGCGCGUAGGCGGGUCUUUAAGUGAGUGGUGAAAGCUCGGGGCUCAACCCCGAUAGUGCCGUUCAUACUGGGGACCUUGAGUGUGGGAGAGGCGAGUGGAAUUUCUGGUGUAGCGGUGAAAUGCGUAGAUAUCAGAAGGAACACCCAUGGCGAAGGCAGCUCGCUGGCCUACAACUGACGCUGAGGCGCGAAAGCGUGGGGAGCAAACAGG